rnacentral:rRNA from 1 species
UACGAAGGGGGCUAGCGUUGCUCGGAAUCACUGGGCGUAAAGCGCACGUAGGCGGAUCGUUAAGUCGGAGGUGAAAUCCUGGAGCUCAACUCCAGAACUGCCCUCGAUACUGGCGAUCUUGGAGUCCGGGAGAGGUGAGUGGAACUCCGAGUGUAGAGGUGAAAUUCGUAGAUAUUCGGAAGGAACACCAGUGGCGAAGGCGGCUCACUGGCCCGGUACUGGACGACUGAGGUGGCGAAAGCGUGGGGA